ACAUUAUUACUGAACAGGCGGCUGCGUCAGCGGUCACGCCGGGCUUGCGAAAGCGGGCAGCAGUUGUUUUUUUAUCAAAAAUCAGCCUGCGGGACAGAC
rnacentral:ncRNA from 1 species